ACAUUUCCUCCACACAUUCAGACCUACAUAAUACCACACCAUGGCACCACCCUGAGUCCGUGCGGCUCGGCGCUGCUCGGCCUGGUUCUUCUCGGCCCGUGUGCUUGUGAUGGCGGAGGAUUGUUUGAAGUGACCGAGACCUGCGCCUCAUCUGGACUUGGUCACGGUUUCAGAUUUCUUCAUGAAGAUUAUGAAACGGGCCCUUUUUAUAAUCACAUGCACCGUUGAUUUACAAACUCCCUGGACUUGUUCUCGAGGCGUGUUGAGCGACCACUCCUCCACUCCUGCACCAUUUCUUCUAUCCUGCUACUCCCUCCAGAACGAAAACAUCAGCCAUCUGGUCCAGGGUUCAAAGGUCAACUCUCAGGCUGAUCUUGUUGAAAUUCAGGUGGUGGGUAGAGACACCUCCUCAGCCCACAGGAACUCAAAUUGUUUGCGAGCACCAUUCUGUGAGAGGCAGCUUUCCAAAUGCUUCAUGCGCCCGUCAUAAGAUGUGUAGAUGGAUGAGGCCUAGAUGGUGUACCUCUCAGUCACCCACUUUACCCCCGCCCCAUUCGCUCCCCAGUGGCCCGGUGAUGGAUUGCAGACCGCAGGGGUGAAGGUGGAGAGGUGGAGGGGAGGUGCGGCUGCUGUGUUUUCGGGUGAAGUUUUUGUCAUGCGAGCGAGCUAGCGGCGGAGAUGGACGAGGCAGGACGGGUGAAAGGGGAAAAGCAGCAGAGCCACACGGAGCAGAGCCUGGACACAUCACACUGAAGGAGAAGCGUCAGACAAGACACAGACACGGGCGAUGAGAAAUGGCCCACAGAGGAACACAGGUGAAGAUCAUCUCAUUUGUCCAAACUUCACAUCAUUGCCGAUUAUUAAAAAGAAAAGCCCCCCCAGCCCCCUUUUAUUUUUAAUGAGUUGAAAAUCAAUUAAUCCCUCCUAACACAGACAUCGGGGUUUAGUCACUGUUUGAAAAUGUGUAAGUUCUCCUACAAGCAUUUUGUCUUGUCUUAUUCCUGGAUGUUAACAAUACUUUCCCUGCAUACUACAGCCAUAAAAAUAAUGAAAAAAAUUUUUAAUAAUAAUGUUGGACGUAUAAAAUAAUGAUAACUAUGACUGACAGUAUAAAUAUUGCAAUUAUAGUAAGUUUCUCUAUAUAUCUUUGGAGAAACACUUCUUCACAUUGUACUUAUUAGCCAUUUGUAGCUACUUCGGGUCUUAGGUGGGUAACAUUUUCUUAUAUUUGAUGAUAUGUUUUGUUGACUAAUGGCACUGUAUUCUUAUGUAACAGAAUCACUUUAUACUUGUUGGGAAGAUUUUUCUGCAAAAUACACAAACAAACUGCACAUUAGCUGUUACAGUCAGAUUCUGUUGUAGAAAAGUAUAAAUCUAAGUGCACUCAGUUCACAGAGAAAGGUCAAAAAAGAAGAUAAAAUCAGAGCAGAGAAUGACUUUAUAGAGACAUAUCAGAUAGAGACACAUCUGGAAAGUCAACACACAGUGUAGAUUAGGCCUACAUGCAGAUAAAAUCUUUGAAAACAAUAAUCUGGUCUUUUAUGUCAAACAUCAACAUUGAUUCAUUUUCAGGAGGAAAUAUGUUGUUUGUUGCUAAAAUAAUUUGAACUUUUCAACGUUCCAUUAGUUUGGGUUCACAUCGAAUCUGUGAUUUGAAGGAUUAAAUGGAGGAUUACAUUUAUUUCCACAUCAAAGCAAAAUGAAGCGAAACAAAAUCAAGUGUUGCAGCUAUAGUUGGAUCCUAGACCUGAUUCAUGUACUUUGGAUCAGAUACAGACUGUAUCUGGUCCAAAGUACAUUCUACUGUCUCAUGCAAUAUACUAUCAAUCAUCUGUCAUAAGUAACAGAAAUUAUAGAGACAGAUAAGAGAAACAAACAGAGUGGAGCUGGGUAGUUUAACAAGAUUCAAGAAUCAUAGGGGCAGAGGGACUCACCUUUUGUCCCUCUCAUGUAAUUCUCAUAUCUAGAAACAUCAUAUAAUACCUUUGUAUAUGAGUGUACAGUGAUAAAACACAGAACUUUUUGUAUGUUGUGGUCUGUUGUGUUCAUUGAACUAUGCAGUCCAUACUAAAUAUUUGACCAAAGCACAAUAUAUAUUUUUUGUGAAUAAUAUUUUAUCUGCUUAUUCAGAGUAGAGAGACAGAUGCAGGACAAACCCCUAUAUUCCCUCUAUAAUUGCAUUUGGCUGUAGUCAGUAGCCAAACACAUUUCGUGGUAACUUUCAAAUGAUAAUGCACGAUCACUAGUUGGAUUAAAUCACCUCACUUUGCUGGGAAUGUUCCUCCUGAGAACCACAUUACCACGGUGAUAAGGUCCUGCCCUUUCCUCUCUGCCCUUUGACCUUUGCUCUCUUCCAAGGCGGCAUGAGCCCUGAGUCAAACAGAAUCCCCCAAAACAAUGACAGCAGAAAUGUGUGAUAAAAAUAGAUGGCGCUGCUGGGUCUGUUUUGCUUGAAUUGGGCCUUUUAAGCAGGAGUCAGGACUUUGUGGUAACUUUUGCAGGAGGAGGUCAUAUUCUGUAUGCUUGUUUUUGUUUUCUGUGUUUUUCUGUGUACCUCAAAUGCAAUCUCACCUGAAGAGUAUGAAAAAGAAUGAUGAACAAUAUGAUAAUAAAAUGUAUGUCAUUUUUUAUGUAAAUACCAAA